AGCCUAGAUGAUGUCAUAUUUAGUUUUUUCUGCUCAGUGAUUAAGUUAAAUAGCCGCAGUACCCUGACUGUGCAAAGGUAGCAUAAUCAUUUGGCUUAUAAUUGAAGUCUAGUAUGAAUGAAUUAAUGGGUAAAAGCUGUCUCUUUAUAAUUAAGUAGAAAUUACUUAGAGGGUGAAAAUUCUCUCAAUAUCUUAAUAGACGAGAAGACCCUAGAAAUUUUUUUAACAUAAUUUUGUUUAUUCAAUUUUGUUGGGGCGACAGAGUAACAGAUAACUUACUUUAAAUAUAAGAAUUUACUUGUAUGAAAAAUAAAAUUACUCUAGGGAUAACAGCAUAAUUUUAUAAAGUUUGUGACCUCGAUGUUGGACUAGGAAAUUUAUUAUUCAGAAGAUAAUAUGUAAAGCUCUGUUCGAGCAUAUUCUCCUACAUG
rnacentral:rRNA from 1 species